rnacentral:rRNA from 1 species
GAGUUUGAUCUUGGCUCAGAUUGAACGCUGGCGGCAGGCCUAACACAUGCAAAGUCGAACGGUAACAGGAAGAAGCUUGCUUCUUUGCUGACGAGUGGCGGACGGGUGAGUAAUGUCUGGGAAACUGCCUGAUGGAGGGGGAUAACUACUGGAAACGGUAGCUAAUACCGCAUAACGUCGCAAGACCAAAGAGGGGGACCUUCGGGCCUCUUGCCAUCGGAUGUGCCCAGAUGGGAUUAGCUUGUUGGUGGGUAACGCUCACCAAGGCGACGAUCCCUUGCUGGUCUGAG